GCGUUGUCCGGAUUUAUUGGGCGUAAAGAGCUCGUAGGUGGUUCGGUAAGUCAGGUGUGAAACCUCCAGGCUCAACCUGGAGACGCCACUUGAUACUGCUGUGACUGGAGUCCGGUAGGGGAGCGUGGAAUUCCUGGUGUAGCGGUGAAAUGCGCAGAUAUCAGGAGGAACACCAGCGGCGAAGGCGGCGCUCUGGGCCGGUACUGACACUGAGGAGCGAAAGCGU
rnacentral:rRNA from 1 species